rnacentral:rRNA from 1 species
GAUGAACGCUGGCGGCGUGCCUAAUACAUGCAAGUCGAGCGAACAGACGAGGAGCUUGCUCCUCUGACGUUAGCGGCGGACGGGUGAGUAACACGUGGAUAACCUACCUAUAAGACUGGGAUAACUUCGGGAAACCGGAGCUAAUACCGGAUAAUAUAUUGAACCGCAUGGUUCAAUAGUGAAAGACGGUUUUGCUGUCACUUAUAGAUGGAUCCGCGCCGCAUUAGCUAGUUGGUAAGGUAACGGCUUACCAAGGCAACGAUGCGUAGCCGACCUGAGAGGGUGAUCGGCCACACUGGAACUGAGACACGGUCCAGACUCCUACGGGAGGCAGCAGUAGGGAAUCUUCCGCAAUGGGCGAAAGCCUGACGGAGCAACGCCGCGUGAAUGAUGAAGGUCUUCGGAUCGUAAAACUCUGUUAUUAAGGAAGAACAAAUGUGUAAGUAACUAUGCACGUCUUGACGGUACCUAAUCAGAAAGCCACGGCUAACUACGUG